rnacentral:rRNA from 1 species
GCUUAAUUCGACGCAACGCGAAGAACCUUACCAAGGCUUGACAUAUAGAGAAAUCCGUUAGAGAUAACGGGUCCGUAAGGGCUCUAUACAGGUGGUGCAUGGUUGUCGUCAGCUCGUGUCGUGAGAUGUUGGGUUAAGUCCCGCAACGAGCGCAACCCUCGUUCUGUGUUGCCAGCAUUUAGUUGGGGACUCACAGGAGACUGCCGGGGUCAACUCGGAGGAAGGUGGGGAUGACGUCAAAUCAUCAUGCCCCUUAUGUCUUGGGCUGCACGCAUGCUACAAUGGCCGGUACAAAGGGCUGCAAUACCGCAAGGUGGAGCGAAUCCCAAAAAGCCGGUCUCAGUUCGGAUUGGGGUCUGCAACUCGACCCCAUGAAGUCGGAGUUGCUAGUAAUCGCAGAUCAGCAACGCUGCGGUGAAUACGUUCCCGGGCCUUGUACACACCGCCCGUCACGUCACGAAAGUCGGUAACACC